rnacentral:rRNA from 1 species
AGUGAACGCUGGCGGUAGGCCUAACACAUGCAAGUCGAACGGCAGCACAGUAAGAGCUUGCUCUUACGGGUGGCGAGUGGCGGACGGGUGAGGAAUACAUCGGAAUCUACUUUUUCGUGGGGGAUAACGUAGGGAAACUUACGCUAAUACCGCAUACGACCUACGGGUGAAAGCAGGGGAUCUUCGGACCUUGCGCGAUUGAAUGAGCCGAUGUCGGAUUAGCUAGUUGGCGGGGUAAAGGCCCACCAAGGCGACGAUCCGUAGCUGGUCUGAGAGGAUGAUCAGCCACACUGGAACUGAGACACGGUCCAGACUCCUACGGGAGGCAGCAGUGGGGAAUAUUGGACAAAGGGCGCAAGCCUGAUCCAGCCAUACCGCGUGGGUGAAGAAGGCCUUCGGGUUGUAAAGCCCUUUUGUUGGGAAAGAAAAGCAGCAGGUUAAUACCCCGCUGCUCUGACGGUACCAAAAGAAUAAGCACCGGCUAACUUCGUG